rnacentral:sRNA from 1 species
AGGCGACAUCGCCUGCAUCAAUGCCAACUUUUAGCGCACGGCUCUUAAAUGAGCCAUUUCCCUGGACCGAAUAUAGGAAUCGUAUUCGGUCUUUUUUA